AUAUUGGGCAAUGGACGAAAGUCUGACCCAGCCAUGCCGCGUGAAGGAUGAAGGUCCUCUGGAUUGUAAACUUCUUUUAUCUGGGGCGAAAACUGAUUUUUCUAAAUCAUUUGACAGUACCAGAUGAAUAAGCACCGGCUAACUCCGUGCCAGCAGCCGCGGUAAUACGGAGGGUGCAAGCGUUAUCCGGAUUCACUGGGUUUAAAGGGUGCGUAGGUGGACAAGUAAGUCAGUGGUGAAAUCCCCGAGCUUAACUCGGGAACUGCCGUUGAUACUAUUUGUCUUGAAUAUCGUGGAGGUAAGCGGAAUAUGUCAUGUAGCGGUGAAAUGCUUAGAGAUGACAUAGAACACCAAUUGCGAAGGCAGCUUGCUACGCGGUAAUUGACACUGAGGCACGAAAGCGUGGGGAGCAAACAGG
rnacentral:rRNA from 1 species